UCACAGUGUAGCUCAGUGAUAGAGUGCUUAUCUAGCAUGUACAAGGUCCUGGAUUUGAUCCCCAGACUGUUAA
rnacentral:tRNA from 1 species